UUUUAUGUAAAAUGUUUCGAGUUCCUUCAGUUGUUGAUGCACAUUCCAUGAAUGGCUAAUGCAGGCCCAUGAUGGGAAAGGACCUACAUUUCUCGGAUCAUCAUGCUAAUAUGUCAGGUAGCACAGCUUGAAAAUUUAUUUUAAAUGAUAAUACUUCCCAAAGAACUCAUAGAAGGGUCAAGAUGUUUGAACUUUGUGGAUCUAUACUUUCAAGCCAUAUUGAAUGAGAAUGUAGAAGUUACUUGGCAUGUGUGAGGCAAAUGGAUGUGACAUAGUGAGGGGUCACUAAUGCAAGUUCAUUUAUGAAUGGUUAUUGACUAUUUUAACAAGGCACUGGAGGGCUCAAGUAUAGAUCUGUCAUAAGCCAGUAUCUCUAUGUAGAUUGAUCUUGGGAAACAAACAAUUACAUGACCGCCACUGCUAAGCUCACUCUUUGUAUUUGCAUGGCAUCCGUUAUAUUUGAGAGUACCACCACUUUCAGAAAAUAUGCCAGAGGAUAUUAAGGUGCGCAUCUUUAAGAUUUUUCUUUAUCAUGUUAGCGUUUGCAAAACAUGCUUGGUUGUUCAUCAAUCUG